AGGAAGUUAGCUAAGCUACCAGGACAAUAGCAAGUCUAGCAGGAAGUUAUCUUAGUUACCAGGAAGUGAGUACACAAGAUGACUUCCUCUCUAUAAACUUUCAUCUUUUCUUCCUGGUCGUCCAUUUCCACCGCAGUUGAAGUUGCCGACCAUCAGAACAGAAAAGGUGAAUUAAAAAGUUUGUCCUCUCUUCCCUGACAAUCUGGUUUAGGAGGAGAAAGAAUAAACAGGAGCGAGAAGAACUGGCGUCUUGUUGUCUCGGCGUCCUGAGAGAACACAAAAGAGUCUUGUUGGGGAGUAAAAGGAGUGUAAGCACAUCUGCUGGCUUCAAAAGACGCCAUCUUUAAGAGCCUAAGAGCAAACAUUUGCGCUUGGCGAAGGGUUAAAAAGACGGACGGCGGCGAUGAAACACUUCCUCGGGAACAUCUUGAGGCACUCGCUGAUCAUCACCACCUUACAUUACCACCUACGUCCCCCUUUUGGGUGGUGAAGUAGUUACAGAUGUGCGGCCCCCAGUGGAAAAAGUUUGGACACCCCUGCGUUAAAGUGGAAGAAGAAGUCAAGCUCCUGUCACGUGAUCAACGAGCAGAUCCAACCCGCCCGGCUUCUCUACACGUGCAAAAGAAGACAUGUAAGUCCUGCAUAACUUUGUGGAACUCCAUAUUUGACGUUAUAAUUGUGUGUGUGUGUGUGUGUGUGUGUGUGUGUGUGUGUGUGUGUCGUAUUACGCUCACAGGAGUGAAAAUGACGUAAAAUAAACACCAAAAUUAAGACAACCUAAUAAAUCCACGCAAUCUUUUCUACACCGCUUGUCCUCAUUAAGGUCAAUAAAUCAACAUGUUUUAUUAUUUAAGUUCAUUUCAAAAUAAAAGACUCUUGAAAAAGUAAAAAACCCACUUACAUAAUGAAAUUGAAUAAUAAAAAAAAAAUGCAACUAAAAAAAAUUUUUAGAGUGAUUAUCAUGUACUUUUAUGGCGUGUGUAAUA